rnacentral:piRNA from 1 species
UGCAGGGUUGGUUUUUUUAAU